rnacentral:rRNA from 1 species
UACGUAGGGGGCGAGCGUUGUCCGGAUUUAUUGGGCGUAAAGAGCGUGUAGGCGGCCAGGUAGGUCUGCUGUGAAAACUCGAGGCUCAACCUCGAGCUGUCGGCGGAAACCAUCUGGCUAGAGUCCGGAAGAGGAGAAUGGAAUUCCCGGUGUAAGCGGUGAAAUGCGCAGAUAUCGGGAAGAACACCCGUGGCGAAGGCGGUUCUCUGGGACGGUACUGACGCUGAGGCGCGAAAGCGUGGGGAGCAAACAGG